UACGUAGGGGGCAAGCGUUAUCCGGAAUUACUGGGUGUAAAGGGAGCGUAGACGGUAAUGUAAGUCUGGAGUGAAAGGCGGGGGCCCAACCCCCGGACUGCUCUGGAAACUAUGUUACUAGAGUGCAGGAGAGGUAAGCGGAAUUCCUAGUGUAGCGGUGAAAUGCGUAGAUAUUAGGAGGAACACCAGUGGCGAAGGCGGUUUACUGGACUGUAACUGACGUUGAGGCUCGAAAGCGUGGGGAGCAAACAGG
rnacentral:rRNA from 1 species